UAUGAAAUGAAGGUGUCCCCAGUACAAACAAUACACACCAUGUUCUCUACAUGUCUGCUGCUCCUGCUGGCAGCUGCUUUCUAUGUACACGGUGAAGAACUGACUCAGCCUGCUGCCAUGACAGUCCAGCCAGGCCAGAGUCUCUCCAUCACCUGCAAGACUUCAUAUUCAGUUACAAGCUAUAGUACAGCUUGGAUUCGACAACCUGCAGGAAAAGCUCUGGAGUGGAUUGGGUAUAUCUAUUGGAAUGAUGGAAGUACAUAUUACAGUGACAAACUUAAAAAUAAGUUCAGCAUCUCCAGAGACACUUCUACUAACACAAUAACAAUUCGAGGACAGAAUCUGCAAACUGAAGACACAGCUGUGUAUUACUGCGCAAGAGAGUCACAGUGA